rnacentral:rRNA from 1 species
UACGUAGGCGGCGAGCGUUGUCCGGAAUUACUGGGCGUAAAGGGUGCGUAGGCGGUAGCUCAAGUCAGAUGUGAAAUUCCGGGGCUUAACUUCGGAACUGCAUUUGAAACUGGGUUACUAGAGUGCAGGAGAGGAAAGCGGAAUUCCUAGUGUAGCGGUGAAAUGCGUAGAUAUUAGGAAGAACACCAGUGGCGAAGGCGGCUUUCUGGACUGUAACUGACGCUGAGGCACGAAAGCGUGGGGAGCAAACAGG